rnacentral:rRNA from 1 species
GACGAACGCUGGCGGUGUGCUUAACACAUGCAAGUCGAACGGUAAGGCCCUUUCGGGGGUACACGAGUGGCGAACGGGUGCGUAACACGUGAGUAUCCUGCCCUCAUCUCUGGGAUAACAGUCGGUAACGGUUGCUAAUACUGGUUCUGCGCUUGCAAGGCAUCUUUUGGGUUGGUAAGUUUUUUUUGGUUUGGGUUGGACUCGCGGCCUAUCUGCUUGUUUGUGUGGUAGUGGCUCACUAAGGCUUCGCCGGGUAGCCGGACUGUGAGGGCGAGCGGCCACAUGGGGAAUGAGAGACGGCCCAAACGGGGAAGGGAGGCAGCAGGGGGGAAUAUUGCAAAAUGGACGGAAGUCUGAUGCAGAAACGCCGCGUGCGGGAUGACGGCCUUCGGGUGGAAAACCGCGUUCAAUUGUGACGAAGCUUUUUGUGACGGUAGCAGAAGAAGAAGCACCGGCUAACUACGUG